CACGUAGGGGGCAAGCGUUGUCCGGAUUUAUUGGGCGUAAAGAGCUCGUAGGUGGUUCGGUAAGUCGGGUGUUAAACCCCCAGGCUCAACCUGGGGACGCCACUCGAUACUGCUGUGACUAGAGUCCGGUAGGGGAGCGUGGAAUUCCUGGUGUAGCGGUGAAAUGCGCAGAUAUCAGGAGGAACACCAGCGGCGAAGGCGGCGCUCUGGGCCGGUACUGACACUGAGGAGCGAAAGCGUGGGUAGCAAGCAGG
rnacentral:rRNA from 1 species